CCCAGGCCCUGAGGGGGGAAGGUGUGGCACGCUCAGGGAAGAGACAGAGGCCACUGGCGAGAGCCCAGGGAACUAGGAAGAGACUGUGUGAGGUGAUGUGCAGGGGAAGUGAGUGGCCAGAUGUUACAGGGCCUUGCAGGCUGAGAUAAGGAGUCUGAGCGUGAUUCUGAGUGUGAUGGGUACUACUGAAAUGUCUGAAGCAGGAAAUUGCUUGAUGGCGUUCAGAGAUGACUUCGGCUUCGGUGGUUGGGCAGGAGAGGUUGGGAUAGACCGUGGACGGUAAAGCGGUGCAUGGAGAGAAGAGUAUUGUGAGAAAACCAAAUAUCCGAAGAGACUUAUUUUUGGAAGUUUUGGAAAUAGAGGGGAAGAUGAGAGGCACUCACGAAGAAGAGCAGGAAUUAAGAUGAUCUGGAAGAGGUUGAGGAUUUCUCUCAUUUAAGGAAACAGGAUAUCUCAAUGAUGGGGCUGGUUUACCAGAACACCACUGCCAAAGGGAGAAUCUGUGGAUCACACAGGAGUAUCUCAUGGAAGCUAAGGAUUUGGAACCAGGUGAUAUAAAGGUUAUCAGGAACAACGUGAACUUCUUUCUGUAUUUUCCUCAGUCUCUCCGGAUUCUUAUCUGUUCUCAGGUCUACACAGCUCUUCAUUUUCCUCUCUCCAGAUUUCAAGGCCAUCUCUGGUCAAAUCAGGUUUGGGUAAAUUCAUGCAGUGUAUAGACCCACCUUUUCUAGAGCAACGGCUAGGGUAGGUUUUCGAGAAAAAUGAUGAGCAUCUCAGGCUCAUUCUUAAAAAAAAGUUAGGGUGAAAAAAAGUAAAUUGGAAAGUUGUUCCAAGCAGUGGUAACUGCUUUUCGAGUUGUUACAGCAAAAAGUAGAAACCCGGCAUGACAAGGGCUGAGGCUGAAGAGAGGGGCAAAGGACAGGGGUGAGGGCCUCAUGCAUCAUGUUGACGGCCUUAGAGUUUGUUCUGCAUACGACAGGGCUUCAAAGUCCAAAAGUAUCAAGUCUGGGAAAACUGAAGUCUAGAUGGUUCCAAUAGACAUACAGGGUCCUGAGAGGCAUCAGGCCAUGAUGGGAAGGGCGCUGACAAGACAGUCAAAGUGUUGAGUUGUAGAUGUGCCCAUUGAUUGCUUUCUUUCAUGGCUUAGGCCUCAGUUCCUUCAUCUACAAAGUGGAGAUAAGUAAUACCUACUUACUGACUAUCUAAGGAGGCGUUGGGAAGACAAAUGACAUAAUCUGUGUGGAAACCCUUUUAGGACUGUCAGACAUGGUUUCAGCAUAAGGUACUUACUCAUCUGUAAAAUGAGGGGGUUGGCCUCGAUGGGAUCUAAUGUUCUUCUAGUUCUAAAGCUCGACAACUCUAUUAUUAUCCUUAUUAUCUGACAAUCAUGCUAAAAUUAUGGGUUUUAUGGAUCUGAAACACCCUUCUCUCAUCUUGCCAAGCAAACUUAAUGUGAGGCUCGUAGCCUGGGAAAUGCCACUUCCUAGGUGGUUGUUUCCACAGAAACACCAAUAACCAUAAAGUUGUGCAGGAAUGUGAACCGUCUGGGUUUGAACAGGAAGAGGAAAUUGAUGUAUAAGCCAGGAACAGAACCAAACCCCUAAAAAAGAAUAGAAUUUCUCUCUGUACAUUACAUGUAAGUAUGUAACCUAAUCCCCCAGCUGAUAACUCUCUACUUUUUAAAAUACUGU